UCCUGCCUCCAAAAGUGUCCGUGGACAGCCUGAGGGUCAGUCAUUGACAGUGCGGGGAUGGGAAUAUCAGGAGGUAUUUGCCCUGUGUUUGGAGGGUCAGCCCUCUCCCUCCCAAACCCUGAAGGUUUCGGACA